rnacentral:rRNA from 1 species
CCCUAUUAUUUUGGAAUGUUAAUUUUGUGUACCUGAGUAGUAAUAGUUAUGUUCUUGAAACUUAAAGAAUUUGGCGGUAUUUCAUUCCGUCUAGAGGAAUCUGUCUCGUUAUCGAUAGUCCACGUUGGACCUUACUUAUAUUGAUUUGGUUUGUAUACCGCCGUUUAUUGAUUAUCUUUUUAGAGUUAUUUUAAUUUUCUGGUUUCUUUAUUUUGAUAGAUUUCAGGUCAAGGUGCAGCUUGUUUUUAAGUGGGAUGAUGGAUUACAUUAGUAUUUGUUUGUGGAUUGUUGGGUUUAAAUACUGACAUGAAAUUGGAUUUAGUUGUAAUAAUUUGUAGAUUGUUAUUAUGAUAGGUGGUUCUGAAAUAUGCACACAUCGCCCGUCGCUCUCGUUUUGUUUAUGUGAUGAGAUAAGUC